GGAGCCGAGUGACAGGCAUUGCUGCCUAGAUGUCUCUCUCUCUCCUAUGGGCACUGCGUCUGCCUACAUUAACCAUAAUCCUCUUCUGCUUACGUCACUUAUCCGGAUGUGAUGGUAACCCUGUUGUAUUCAUCUGUUUAACCUCUUCCUGUCCCAGCUCCCGCCCUUAGCCUAUAAAAGGAGUUCCGAACUUGUUGAUCUGCAGGCCGGAUCAAGUGGCGCUCAGCGUGGGAGCCCCUGGCACGGAGAAGUUAACGAGGGAGCCGUUCGAGAGACAGCCGGCUUAAACCGAAAGUGAAAGCAAAUUGAACCAGAGACCUCGGCAGAGGAAUGAGUAAACUGAAUCAAGGAUUAAAGUUUAAAGCAACAGGACAUUAAAUCAAGUGCCGAGACCUGCGCAGACGACUACCCGACGUCCUGCCCGAGUCACGGUGAGUGAACGGCAACCCCAUUUCCCUUUCCCGACAUGGGUCAAGUAUUGAGCGAACAUGAACUGUUCGUCGGAGGCCUUAUAAAGGCAUUAAAGACAAGAGAGAUAAGGGUUGAAAAACAAGAAUUAUUACAGUAUUUUCAGUUUAUUCAUAAGGUUUGCCCUUGGUUCCCCCUAGAGGGUUCUAUAGAUACCAAGAGGUGGAAUACAGUAAGAGAUGUUUUAAAAGAUUAUUAUAGAGUUUUCGGUCCAGAAAAGGUUCCUGUGACCACCUUUACAUAUUGGAAUUUAAUUUCUGAGCUGCUUGCCCAGAAGCAUGCAGACCCUCAGGUUGAGGAGACAGUUGCACUAGGUGAGGCUGCCUUGCGCGACUUCCUUAAAUCUACCUCAAAACCGUUCUCAGAAAAAUCUGAAGCCACUAAUUUCUCAGAUGCAGAGAAUGAUGGCCUGUUAGAGGUCCUCAUACAUGGUGAUCUGCCACCACUUCCACCUGUUGACACGAUCAGCAGGUCCCAGGAUGGCAGCCCGCCACUCCCUGUGCCUCCAUGGCAAAUUGGGGAUUCAUAUAAGCCUUUAAAAACAACCUUAACUCUGAAAAGCUUGCAGCCGCAAGGCAGCUGGUACAGGACCAGUUAGAUGCAGGCCACAUUGUUCCUAGUAAUUCCCCUUGGAACACACCUAUCUUUGUUAUCCGGAAAAGGUCAGGAAAGUGGAGGCUGCUACAAGACCUUAGGGUGAUAAAUAAGACAAUGGUCUUAAUGGGGCCUCUACAGCCUGGCCUCCCCUCACUCAGUGCCAUUCCUUUAGGAUUUUUUAAAAAUUGUCAUAGAUCUUAAAGAUUGCUUUUUCUCUAUUCCUUUACACUUCAUGACUUCCAAAAACUAUUGGGAGAUAUUAAUUGGCUCAUACCAUUUUUAAAACUAACUAAACAUGAUUUACAACCCCUUUAUGCACUGCUUCGGGGAGACAUAGAUCCAACUUCCCCCCGAGAGCUUACACCUGAUGCCAGGAGAGCGCUCAGUAAAGUAGAAGAGGCUAUUGCUCAACAAACUGUUUCCUUUAUGGACUACAAUGAGCCUUUACAGUUUCUCAUUUUUAAUACAAAGCUUUGCCCUACAGCAGUGUUCUGGCAACAAGCUCCCCUCAUGUGGGUCCAUUUACCAGUCUCUCCAAAAAGAACACUUUUGCCUUAUUUCCAAGCUGUCUCAGACCUAAUAAUCCAGGGUAGAAAGCAGGGAAAAUGUUACUUUGGCAAAGAACCAGACAUUAUCAUUCAACCUUUUACAAAAGACCAAAUAGAUUGGUUACUUCAGAGUACUGAAGUGUGGCCUAUUGCCUUAGCUUCCUAUUCAGGGACUAUUGACAAUCAUUACCCUCCAAAUAAGCUAGUUGACUUUGCUAAUCGUCACUCAUUUAUAUUCCCUAAAGUCACAGCUUCACAACCCCUUCCGGGUGCCCUGGUUUUAUUCACUGAUGGCUCAUCCUCUGGAAGAGCUGCUUAUGUAUCUCAAAACAAUGUUUCUACCCUCCAGGCAGAUACUUCCUCUGCACAAUUAGCAGAGUUAGAAGCUAUUCUUGCAGCUUUUGCUGCUUACUCUGACCAACCAUUUAAUUUGUAUACUGACAGUGCUUACCUUGCUCAGUCUGUUCCAUUAUUGUUGCUACUAUAUGUCAUGCUUCCCCAGCUGCAAAUCUGUUCAAACAAUUACAAUGCUUCAUAUGGCUUCGCCGUCAUAAGUUCUUUAUCGGUCAUCUGCGAGCUCAUUCCAACCUCCCAGGGCCUCUUGCCCAAGGAAAUCAUUUGGCUGAUGUUGCUGUACGAGCACAGGUUUUUAUGGCUCAGGACUCCAAGGUGUCUGAGGCCCAACAAGCCCACCAGCUACAUCACCUCAAUGCUCACACCCUCCGCCUUCUCUACAAAAUUACCCGUGAGCAAGCCAGACAAAUUGUAAAAAAUUGCCCAUCUUGUGCUAUCCACUCACCUGUUCAACACCUAGGAGUCAACCCUAGAGGUUUAAUUCCUAAUGCCUUAUGGCAAAUGGAUGUUACCCAUUUCAAUGAGUUUGGCAAUCUAAAAUAUGUACAUGUCAUCAUUGACACUUAUAGUGGCUUCAUUUUUGCCACUCUCCAGACUGGAAAUGCUGCUAAACACAUUAUAGCCCAUAUGCUGUCAGCCUUCUCAGUUCUGGGAUGUCCUCAACAGCUUAAGACCGAUAAUGGCCCUGGCUAUACCAGUACCUCCUUUGCUCAAUUUUGUAAAAGCCUUAAUAUCCUCCACACUACAGGUAUACCUUACAAUCCUCAGGGACAAGGCAUUGUUGAACGUGUGCAUCGUUCUCUUAAAUUCACCAUUGAUAAAAUAAAAAGGGAGACAUGGUACCCCACCCAGGGGUCCCCUAGAAAUGUCCUUUCACAUGCUCUUUUUAUUUUAAAUUUUCUGACCCUGGAUGCUUCAGGCUGCUCCGCAGCAUCUCGGUUUUGGCAUACUCAGACUCAAACACGGUUUGCAUCUGUUUUAUGGAGAGACCCACUAACCAAUGUGUGGAAUGGCCCUGAUCCAGUCCUUAUCUGGGGACGAGGUUCAGUGUGUGUUUACUCUCAACAAGAUAGAGAAGCUAGAUGGCUACCUGAACGCCUCGUAAAGCAAGUAGACAGUUCUUCAAAGACCCCGUAUAACGCCCAGGAAUAAUGUUAUUUCCUGAGGCACAAUCCCCUGUGUUCUCUUACAGGUGACACAUCUCCUUGGAGCCUUAUGCUGCUUAACCAGCCUUCUUGAGCCACACCACACCCAUGGUGGAUUUUGACCCCUGCCAAACAGACUGCAACUGCUGACAGCCAUGCACAGAACCCCAUGACUGCGGAAGAGGCUCUUCUCGGUCUGGAGGAACGCCAGCCAAAUAGACUGCAUCCAGUGUUAUACAAGGCAUGCUCCAAGACACAGGAGAAUGACUUCAUACAGAGACACCAACAAAUGACUGUCAACCCCUUCUCCUUGAUUUUGGGGGGGGGGAGUUUUUCCCUUACCUAGUCCCACUUUUGGGUCCCCUAGCUGACCUAUUGUUUCUCAUUUCUGUGAGUCUUGUAUUUUUCAGAGGAUUAUGAUGUUCAUUAAUAACCGGAUAGACGCAUUUAUGGCAAAGCCCAUUCAGGUACACUACCAUCAGCUGGAGAUGACAGAUCAACAAACCUACAGGGAAGGAAUUCCCACGAGUGGCCCAUAUGAUGAUGCGGCCUGACUGCCCUGGGGCAAUGGACAGGCAGUCAGAGACGGGCAACUAGGACAUGCAUGUUAAUUCCAACAGCCACCUAAGACAGGCACAGGACCAACUGCUGUUCUGCAAGCCCAUGACGGGUAAGGCCUGGUUGGGUUCAUGCAAUGAGGUCCUUGACCUAAGACAGACGCUGUCCUCACAGGGCCUGCCAUACUCUUAAUUAAAUAAUAUAAAAAGGGAGGAGAUGUAGGGAGCCGAGUGACAGGCAUUGCUGCCUAGAUGUCUCUCUCUCUCUCUCCUAUGGGCACUACGUCUGCCUACAUUAACCAUAAUCCUCUUCUGCUUACGUCACUUAUCCGGAUGUGAUGGUAACCCUGUUGUAUUCAUCUGUUUAACCUCUUCCUGUCCCAGCUCCCGCCCUUAGCCUAUAAAAGGUGUGAUUAUUUUCUCAAUAAACCGGAGGCUUGAUUGGGUUAACAUCAA